rnacentral:rRNA from 1 species
UGGGGAAUAUUGGACAAUGGGCGCAAGCCUGAUCCAGCCGUGCCGCGUGAGUGAUGAAGGCCCUAGGGUUGUAAAGCUCUUUUGUGCGGGAAGAUAAUGACGGUACCGCAAGAAUAAGCCCCGGCUAACUUCGUGCCAGCAGCCGCGGUAAUACGAAGGGGGCUAGCGUUGCUCGGAAUCACUGGGCGUAAAGGGUGCGUAGGCGGGUCUUUAAGUCAGGGGUGAAAUCCUGGAGCUCAACUCCAGAACUGCCUUUGAUACUGAGGAUCUUGAGUUCGGGAGAGGUGAGUGGAACUGCGAGUGUAGAGGUGAAAUUCGUAGAUAUUCGCAAGAACACCAGUGGCGAAGGCGGCUCACUGGCCCGAUACUGACGCUGAGGCACGAAAGCGUGGGUAGCAAACA